rnacentral:rRNA from 1 species
UACGGGGGGGGCAAGCGUUGUUCGGAAUUACUGGGCGUAAAGGGCUUGUAGGCGGCCAACUAAGUCCGACGUGAAAUCCCCAGGCUUAACCUGGGAACUGCGUCGGAUACUGGAUGGCUUGAAUCCGGGAGAGGGAUGCGGAAUUCCAGGUGUAGCGGUGAAAUGCGUAGAUAUCCGGAGGAACACCGGUGGCGAAGGCGGCAUCCUGGACCGGCAUUGACGCUGAAAAGCGAAAGCUAGGGGAGCAAACGGG